AUGUACCGGGGCUAAACAUAUUACCGAAACUGUGGAUGAACCUCUUUAGAGGUUCGUGGUAGGAGAGCGUUCUAAGGGCGGUGAAGUCAGACCGGAAGGACUGGUGGAGCGCUUAGAAGUGAGAAUGCCGGUAUGAGUAGCGAAAGAAGGGUGAGAAUCCCUUCCACCGAAUAUCUAAGGUUUCCUGAGGAAGGCUCGUCCGCUCAGGGUUAGUCGGGACCUAAGCCGAGGCCGAUAGGCGUAGGCGAUGGACAACAGGUAGAGAUUCCUGUACCAGUGCUAAUUGUUUAACCGAUGGGGUGACACAGAAGGAUAGGGAAUCGCACGAAUGGAAAUGUGCGUCCAAGCAGUGAGUGUGAGAA
rnacentral:rRNA from 1 species